UAAGCUUAGCAGGAAAGGAAAUAAGCAGUGCAGUGGGUCUAAUCGUUACCGCGUCAUAAUAUAACGACAUGUAGCGCAGUGAUAGUAAUUAAGAAAGAUGCAUCACCAGUUGCCCUGCUCCUUUAUCAUCAUCCAGAUUCACAGUUGCUGGGGAGCCCCGGUUGCAGGAAGGAUCUGGAGAACCCGUCUCAGCAGUUGGGAACUCAUACGGCGAUGUGUCCACCCCGGAGGUGAGGUCUGCAGAGCCACUGCAAGCACGUCCAGCCUUGAUGCCCUUGAAUAAUCUGGGGUAGGCAGCAGUCAGGUGAAACGUCCGGUUUCCUCUUUCUCGUUCUGGUUUUCUCCCUGAAAACCCUGUCCGGGGUUCAAGGAGGAGCAGAAAGAGCUGUGCCAUCUGUUUUGGUGUAGCACGGGCCUCUUUGGCAAGACUGAGCGCCCAGACCCCCGGCAAUAGGCUUAGUCGGGUGACAGACAUUGCAGCCGAGUUCCCUUGUGAGCAAGGCUCCCCACCUGACUGUGAGGUCACGCGGCGCAGUGCUCAGAACCCACAGAGCACUCGGCAGAGGUGUUUGGCCGAGUGCUGAGCAGGAACGUGCACGACGCGCGACUGCUGGCUUCCCGCCGCUUCCUCUUUCCCGUGGCGAGGCCAGCGCUCUACCGACGACAAGUGCUGGCCGGAGGGCUGGGUUCGGUGCCAUGGCACGGCACACGAAGCCCGAGGUGGAGCGGUACGUUGCCUUUGUGCGGUCCGCCGCCUCUUCUCCUAGAGAGAAAUCAUUGAAAGGAUUCAUCUGUGCUAAGCUGUAUUUUGAAAUAAAAGAAUAUGAACUUGCAAAAAGAUAUAUAUCUACUUAUCUCAGUGUCCAAGAGAGAGAUCCCAGAGCACACAGGAUUCUUGGACAAAUCAGGACGAGACAGAAAAAGCUGUUGGGUGUUACAAGGUAAGUGCUCCAGUGACCCCCAGUCACGUCCAGCUUUCUUCCUUUGUAAAUGGACUUUUAAAAUGCAUCUGUGCUGUGCAUUCCUUAAGCUCAGAGAGAAAAUGUGUUGUUUGUGGACAAAUUAA